AUGGCCGGAUGAGGAGAACCCGGCACUAGCCAACUCCCGCCUUCUGGACUUCUGGGUAGUAGCCUCUGACUCAGGGGCGAGGGUCGGAGCUGUUGGCCGGAGAAGGGGUCUUUCCCCCCCUUGGGGGUAAGGGGCCUGCGCUCCCUGGGCUCAGACCAUGCGACCCCCCCUCGUGAUAAGCCACUACUACUUUUGUACCCCUCUCAGGCCCUUAAGACCUGCUCCUCACUCUUCAGGCUCCAGGUGCUGACACCAGACUCGACUGCUUUUGGGGAAAAGUACUUGGCUUUCCUUUCCGAACGUCCUUCCCUGGUUUCCUCCCUUCACGUUCUUCAGCCAGGCCUUAUUAAAAUGGCCUCCCCCUCUUGGACUUUAAGGCCCGGGUGAAGUUUGGAUGGGGCGAGAAGGAGAGGUGGACAGGGACAUCCUCAUUCUAGCUCCUUAUGAUUUCUGAGGGUCUCCCACCUCUCCCAGGAUGAGUUCCUUCAAGUCCUCUAAUUAUCCUGGAGCUUCCUGGUUUCUAGCUGUUCCAGGACCCGCCUAUAAACUGAAAAUGCCAACGUGUGCAGCAUGGGGGAGUGGGGGCUGCUUUUGGUUGACAAACCUAUAUGUGUAUAUCCAGGAGAAUUCCGGAUAGUGGGACUAUUUGAUAUGGUCCAUAAUAAUAGAGUUCCUGUUGACCUUCCGGUGGAACUUCUUAUGAUAUCACUGUAGAGGGUGCUUGUUGAAAUUCAGAACUGAAUUAAGUGAACUUCUUGUCUCCUGUUUUUAAGUUUUAGUAAGAAACUUUAGGUGUAUCCAUUCUGAGAAGAGUAAACUAGAUUAAGAUUAGCCUUUUUUUUUUUCUUUUUUUUAAUAUUGCUCAUUUGAGGAAGGUGCCAGAGUAUUCCUGUUUCCUCACUUCCUGGCUUUCCCAGUCAUAGAAAGUUUUUACUUACCGGAAGUGGCCCCCAAAAGUGGAACAUUACAUAUUCUUAAAUCUCUGCAUUCUUAGAUUAGCAUAGUGGUUUUGUCCCAGGACUUUGGAAAGUUGAUUUCAGCACAAGAAUUGGAGUUUCUGGUUUUCAGCUCAUGCUUGUCAUUGGCAUUGCAUUUGCAGUGAUAGGAUGAAUAUCAGAUUUACUUAUUAAUUUUUAUGGGAAUUUGUACUACAAUAGAAGAAAAAAAAUAAUUCCCAAAAUGUAAAAGAGUAAUGUAGGUCAUGAGCCAUUAUGAUGCCAAGUACUUUUUUGUCACUAGGAUUUUCUGUCAUGUUACUUGAAGCCUUCAGUUGUAUAUUGAUUUUUGUAGAGUGUUGUUUAAAGUAUUUGUUCUUUUUGUUUGGAGGAAGAUUCACAUUAUAUUCUCUGAAGCAGUCUAAAAUAUGAAUUUAUUACUAAUCGGCCUGUUGUCUGAGUGAAGUAACAUUGAUAAUGCUGCUUAAUAAGUAACAAUAUUCCUUUCUACUCUUUGAUGAAGAAAGCUUAUUCUUAAAUUUGUUCCUAAGCAUGUCACCUAGCCACUUGAAAGUUAUAAGUACCUCCUUUUAAAGGUUUGAAGGCUUUACUAAACUCUUUGUUUAGUAAAGUUUGAAGCAUGCUAAAAAAUGAAGCUAUUAGGCACAGCUCUUCUUCCAAGUGGUAGUUUGAACAUUUUAGACAUGAUUAAACUGUCUAAAAUAGUAGGGACUCUUCCUCUAAACAGUGUGGUUAAUGAUCAUGUCCUGUUUGCUUCUAGUCAGGCUUUGGUUGCAUCUUGAUUCCAUGAAAACUUAAAAUCUUAGCCAUUUCUCAUGUUGGUUAGGGAGUCAAGUUUGUUCUGUGACUCACAAGGUUCCUGGUAUAUGUCGUUUUCUCAUGGGAAACAAAAAUAUUGUAUUUUCAAUUCUUUUUUGUGUUAAAGUCAAACUCUAGUUUUUCAUAGUGUAUAGUGAGAAAUGUUUUUCUUCUUUACCUAAAGUUAAAUAUUUUAGGAGUAAUUGUAAUGAGCUAUAAAGACAAACUGAGUCAAUCCAUGUGUGCUG
rnacentral:lncRNA from 1 species